rnacentral:rRNA from 1 species
AAAUUGAAGAGUUUGAUCAUGGCUCAGAUUGAACGCUGGCGGCAGGCCUAACACAUGCAAGUCGAACGGUAACAGAAAGCAGCUUGCUGCUUCGCUGACGAGUGGCGGACGGGUGAGUAAUGUCUGGGAAACUGCCUGAUGGAGGGGGAUAACUACUGGAAACGGUAGCUAAUACCGCAUAACGUCGCAAGACCAAAGAGGGGGACCUUCGGGCCUCUUGCCAUCGGAUGUGCCCAGAUGGGAUUAGCUUGUUGGUGGGGUAACGGCUCACCAAGGCGACGAUCCCUAGCUGGUCUGAGAGGAUGACCAGCCACACUGGAACUGAGACACGGUCCAGACUCCUACGGGAGGCAGCAGUGGGGAAUAUUGCACAAUGGGCGCAAGCCUGAUGCAGCCAUGCCGCGUGUAUGAAGAAGGCCUUCGGGUUGUAAAGUACUUUCAGCGGGGAGGAAGGGAGUAAAGUUAAUACCUUUGCUCAUUGACGUUACCCGCAGAAGAAGCACCGGCUAACUCCGUGCCAGCAGCCGCGGUAAUACGGAGGGUGCAAGCGUUAAUCGGAAUUACUGGGCGUAAAGCGCACGCAGGCGGUUUGUUAAGUCAGAUGUGAAAUCCCCGGGCUCAACCUGGGAACUGCAUCUGAUACUGGCAAGCUUGAGUCUCGUAGAGGGGGGUAGAAUUCCAGGUGUAGCGGUGAAAUGCGUAGAGAUCUGGAGGAAUACCGGUGGCGAAGGCGGCCCCCUGGACGAAGACUGACGCUCAGGUGCGAAAGCGUGGGGAGCAAACAGGAUUAGAUACCCUGGUAGUCCACGCCGUAAACGAUGUCGACUUGGAGGUUGUGCCCUUGAGGCGUGGCUUCCGGAGCUAACGCGUUAAGUCGACCGCCUGGGGAGUACGGCCGCAAGGUUAAAACUCAAAUGAAUUGACGGGGGCCCGCACAAGCGGUGGAGCAUGUGGUUUAAUUCGAUGCAACGCGAAGAACCUUACCUGGUCUUGACAUCCACAGAACUUUCCAGAGAUGGAUUGGUGCCUUCGGGAACUGUGAGACAGGUGCUGCAUGGCUGUCGUCAGCUCGUGUUGUGAAAUGUUGGGUUAAGUCCCGCAACGAGCGCAACCCUUAUCCUUUGUUGCCAGCGGUCCGGCCGGGAACUCAAAGGAGACUGCCAGUGAUAAACUGGAGGAAGGUGGGGAUGACGUCAAGUCAUCAUGGCCCUUACGACCAGGGCUACACACGUGCUACAAUGGCGCAUACAAAGAGAAGCGACCUCGCGAGAGCAAGCGGACCUCAUAAAGUGCGUCGUAGUCCGGAUUGGAGUCUGCAACUCGACUCCAUGAAGUCGGAAUCGCUAGUAAUCGUGGAUCAGAAUGCCACGGUGAAUACGUUCCCGGGCCUUGUACACACCGCCCGUCACACCAUGGGAGUGGGUUGCAAAAGAAGUAGGUAGCUUAACCUUCGGGAGGGCGCUUACCACUUUGUGAUUCAUGACUGGGGUGAAGUCGUAACAAGGUAACCGUAGGGGAACCUGCGGUUGGAUCACCUCCUUACCUUAAAGAAGC